ensembl:lncRNA LOC102552952 uncharacterized LOC102552952
UUCUACCUUUCCUCUUCUCCUCAGGGCUCCCACGGGCUGCAGACAGUCAUUAAAAGUGAAUGUUAGGACAACUAUCCCUGCCCUAGACAGGGAGCCCCAGGCCAGGCACUCUGUAUAAAUGACCUGAUUUAGGAUGCUCAGACUCAGAGAAUGAAGAAGAUACAGGCUUGACUCUCACUUCCAACAAGCAAUCACUCUGAACCAGACCUGACCAGCUCUAAAGACAAGCUACCCUCAACUCGUCCAGAAGGGAUCUGAAGCUGCCCUUCAAAGACUCAAACAAGCACUUGAUCUGCCAUCAAAGCAUGUACCUGGCCUUCCUCAGAACCAUCAGCAUUUUGUAUUGCUGGUUUCUCCAACUAAAAGCCCAUAGAGAGCUUUCAUUGUUGUUUGGUUUACCUGCCCGGAUCCUUACCUCCCUCUAGAUUCCAGUCCCUCUUCCAUGCCUUCUCUUUUGGCAGCUCCUGCCUGAAUCAGCUACGCCACGGAUUCACUGAGCUCCAUUUUUUCAGGCCUCAUGUGUCUUCGCUCAGUGUUUCUAACCAGCUCCUUCCUUUUCGCCUUGGGGAAGGAUGUUCCGACAAGGGAAGGAUCAUAUGAAAAGAUCUCUCAGGUGUGUGAGAGAGAUAAAGGUAGAAGGAGACCACGUGGGGGAAAGAAGAUUAAAGAGAAGGAAUCAGAAAUGAAGAUAAUGAAAGAUGCAAAAUAUUACGUUUUCUCUCAUAGUGAGAAUGCACCAAGGGAUCUGAAGAGAAAACCAGCAAACAAACAAACCAAAACAAAUGGCCAGCAAAGACAUGGAAGAUACUUAACAUCUCUAGUGAGGAAAGAAGAAUUAAAUCCCAGAGAGAGAACCCUUCCCACUGCUGCAAUGGCUUGUAUCUGUAGGAUGUCAUACAAGUGAGGGCGGGUACAGGAUAGAGCGAGGCCUGUCAUUGGAUGAGAAGGAAGGAUGGGCAGGAGAAAAGUUUGAGGGAAGAGGAAGAAACUGGAAUGGAAGAGAUGGGAAGGAAGCCACAGAGAGAACAUGGAGGCUGACGUUAAGAUUCCACUCUGUGUAUUUACAGGUGGUUAGGAAUAUUCUUAAGGGAUGGAUGUGUAUAGGGCUUUGUAUGUUUAGGUGGGCAAUUAUAUCUUAUCAAUUGGGUC